rnacentral:lncRNA from 1 species
CAUGCCACACCACCACCAUAGUAGAGAGGUGAAGAGCCAUUCAGAUGUCAGAGAGAAGCGGAUGGACUUCCAACUACCUCGUACUAUCACGGACCAUCCCAUGAUAGUAGUAGAGUCUCCCUCAAUAAAAAAUUUUCUUUACCUACAACUCCUACUUGGCAAGGAUAAUACUUAUCCGGAUGGCAUGAAGCUUAGCACCCG